UCCCAACCCUGGAAUAAGAAGGGAAGUUCUUACUGGAGAUCACGUUACCACAAAAAAGCCACUGUCAUCAGACCCAAGGCAAGUGGAAGCACCACAGCACCAUCUAUUGUGGAAAUAAAGGCCAGCGUAGUCGAGUCUAUUUUGUACGUGCUGACACUCUACUGAUGUCUGACUUCAUCAACAGCUUCAAGAAAAAAAUCACUUCCACUGCUUUAAGUGUCCUCAGUUACCAUGACUGUGCCUUCUGGAACCAGAACUCAUGCAAGAAUGAGUUCCUUUUCUUGCGACCAUUCAGACUGCAAGAUUUUAAAAGAUGAC